rnacentral:rRNA from 1 species
AUGAAGGAGGCGGCUGUGGGCGGCGGCGGGGACGGGGCCGGGGGGUUCGUGCGGGCCGACCAGAUCGACCUCAAGAGCCUCGACGAGCAGCUCGACCGCCACCUCGCGCGCGCAUGGACCAUGGACAAGCCCAAGCGCGGCGCCGGCGACGGCCAGGAGCGCAGGCGGGAGGACUGGGAGGCCGACCCCGCCAGGCUCGUCGUCCGGGGCGUCAUCGCCCGCGGCACCUUCGGCACCGUCCACCGCGGCGUCUACGACGGCCUCGACGUCGCAGUGAAACUGCUUGAUUGGGGGGAGGAUGGUCAUAGGUCAGAGCAAGAAAUAACAUCAAUAAGAGCAGCUUUUUCACAAGAAGUCUCCGUCUGGCAUAAGCUUGAUCAUCCAAAUGUAACCAAGUUUAUAGGGGCUAUAAUGGGUGCUGGGGAUCUGAAUAUUCAGACAGAAGAUGGAAACAUCGGCAUGCCAAGUAAUGUUUGCUGUGUCAUUGUGGAGUACCUUGCUGGAGGUGCACUGAAAACAUUUCUGAUAAAGAACAGGAGAAGGAAGCUGGCUUUCAAAGUUGUGGUCCAGAUAGCUCUCGACCUUGCCAGGGGAUUAAGCUAUCUUCACUCGAAGAAAAUUGUGCAUCGUGAUGUGAAGACCGAAAACAUGCUUCUUGACAAAACAAGAACUGUAAAAAUCGCGGACUUUGGUGUUGCUCGCCAUGAGGCUGCAAACCCCAGCGACAUGACAGGCGAAACAGGCACCCUUGGUUACAUGGCACCUGAGGUUCUCAACGGCAACGCUUACAACAGGAAGUGUGACGUCUACAGCUUCGGGAUCUGCCUUUGGGAGGUGUACUGCUGCGACAUGCCGUACGCGGACCUGAGCUUCUCGGAGGUCACGUCCGCUGUUGUUCGUCAGAACCUGAGGCCGGAGAUCCCGCGGUGCUGCCCGAGCGCGUUUGCGAACGUGAUGAAGCGGUGCUGGGACGCGAACCCCGACAAGCGUCCGGAGAUGGCGGAGGUGGUGACGAUGCUGGAGGCGAUCGACACGUCCAAGGGCGGGGGCAUGAUCCCCGUGGACCAGGCGCGCGGCAUCGGGUGCCUCUCCUGCCUCAGGCCGCGCAGGGGCCCCUGA